GAGGUUGUGACUCAGUGGUAGAGCACUUGCCUCACCGCAUGAGGUACUGGGUUCGAUCCUCAGCACCACA
rnacentral:tRNA from 1 species